AAUACAGUAAGUGUGGUGUUAUUUAUAUUAUAAGUGAACCGCGGUAAUUUACUCAACAGUGAAUACAAGGAUAACAAAUUAAACUCUCAUAGAACUGUUUUUUUUAACGAUUCGUCAAAAGAUCACAAAUCGUGUCUAGUUGAAGAUGUUACACUCAAAAAUUGUAAUACUUUCCUACGUUCCCCAUUCGAUGCAAAGGUGAGAAGGUAUUCAUUUACUAUGAUGAGUUUCAUUUUGUGUCUUUUACCACUUUUUCUCAGCUCUCACCGAAUGGAUUUCUUUCAACGAUAAGUCAAAAGUUCACAAAUCGUAUCUAGUCGAAGAAAUUACCCUCAAAAAUAGAAAAACUUUCCUCAGUUUCCCGCAAAUGGAGGAAACCUCCAAAAAAAUUACAAAUUUAAAAAUGACCGAAUAACUUUUUUACAAAUGAACAUAUCAAUAUAAUUUUUUUAUUUAUAGAUGCUUGAUGACUUUACCUAUCAUUCAGUUUAUUAUUUUUAUAAAUUUAACCCUUUUAAAUUGACAACUUUUUCACAAAAAAUGUAUUUUACCCUUAACAUUUGUAAGUGUUCCGGAAUGUCUGACACAUUUACAUAUAUCUUAAAUUAUAGCUAAUGUAAUAUAAUUUAUUAUGGAAAAAGAAGAUUUCGACUUUAUUUUGUCUUCACAGUCAAAAUGGUUA